UGGGGAAUAUUGCACAAUGGGCGCAAGCCUGAUGCAGCCAUGCCGCGUGUAUGAAGAAGGCCUUCGGGUUGUAAAGUACUUUCAGUCGGGAGGAAGGUGUCAAGGUUAAUAACCUUGGCAAUUGACGUUACCGACAGAAGAAGCACCGGCUAACUCCGUGCCAGCAGCCGCGGUAAUACGGAGGGUGCAAGCGUUAAUCGGAAUUACUGGGCGUAAAGCGCACGCAGGCGGUUGAUUGAGUCAGAUGUGAAAUCCCCGGGCUUAACCCGGGAAUUGCAUCUGAUACUGGUCAGCUAGAGUCUUGUAGAGGGGGGUAGAAUUCCAUGUGUAGCGGUGAAAUGCGUAGAGAUGUGGAGGAAUACCGGUGGCGAAGGCGGCCCCCUGGACAAAGACUGACGCUCAGGUGGGAAAGCGUGGGGAGCAAACAGG
rnacentral:rRNA from 1 species